CUACGUGCCAGCAGCCGCGGUAAUACGGAAGGUCCAGGCGUUAUCCGGAUUUAUUGGGUUUAAAGGGAGUGUAGGCGGUCUGUUAAGCGUGUUGUGAAAUUUAGGUGCUCAACAUUUAACUUGCAGCGCGAACUGUCAGACUUGAGUACACGCAACGUAUGCGGAAUUCAUGGUGUAGCGGUGAAAUGCUUAGAUAUCAUGAAGAACUCCGAUUGCGAAGGCAGCAUACGGGAGUGUAACUGRCGCUUAAGCUCGAAGGUGCGGGUAUCGAACAGGAUUAGAUACCCUGGUAGUCCGCACAGUAAACGAUGGAUGCCCGCUGUURGYRCCUGGYRUCAGCGGCUAAGCGAAAGCAUUAAGCAUCCCACCUGGGGAGUACGCCGGCAACGGUGAAACUCAAAGGAAUUGACGGGGGCCCGCACAAGCGGAGGAACAUGUGGUUUAAUUCGAUGAUACGCGAGGAACCUUACCCGGGCUUGAAUUGCAGAGGAAUUAUUUAGAGAUA
rnacentral:rRNA from 1 species